rnacentral:rRNA from 1 species
UACGUAGGGUGCAAGCGUUGUCCGGAAUUAUUGGGCGUAAAGAGCUCGUAGGCGGUCUGUCGCGUCGGCUGUGAAAACUUGGGGCUCAACCCCAAGCCUGCAGUCGAUACGGGCAGACUAGAGUGCGGUAGGGGAGACUGGAAUUCCUGGUGUAGCGGUGAAAUGCGCAGAUAUCAGGAGGAACACCGGUGGCGAAGGCGGGUCUCUGGGCCGUAACUGACGCUGAGGGACGAAAGCUAGGGGAGCGAAUGGG